rnacentral:tRNA from 1 species
GCCCGGGUAGCUCAGUUGGUUGAGUGUCUGACUUUGGCUCAGGUCAUGGUCUUACGGUUCGUGAGUUCGAGUCCUGCGUUGGGCU